AUGAUGUGUGGGCGACCUCGCCCGAACCGUGAGGAUUUUGCCGAGUGCUGA
rnacentral:snoRNA from 1 species